rnacentral:rRNA from 1 species
GACGAACGCUGGCGGCGUGCUUAACACAUGCAAGUCGAACGGAAAGGCCCUGCUUUUGUGGGGUGCUCGAGUGGCGAACGGGUGAGUAACACGUGAGUAACCUGCCCUUGACUUUGGGAUAACUUCAGGAAACUGGGGCUAAUACCGGAUAGGAGCUCCUGCUGCAUGGUGGGGGUUGGAAAGUUUCCGCGGUUGGGGCUGGACUCGGGGCUUAUCAGCUUGUUGGUGGGGUAGUGGCUUACCAAGGCUUUGACGGGUAGCCGGCCUGAGAGGGUGACCGGCCACCUUGGGCCUGAGAUACGGCCCAGACACCUACGGGAGGCAGCAGUGGGGAAUAUUGCACAAUGGGGGGAAGCCUAAUGCAGCAACGCCGCGUGCGGGAUGACGGCCUUCGGGUGGUAAACCGCUUUCGCCUGUGACGAAGCGUGAGUGACGGUAAUGGGUAAAGAAGCACCGGCUAACUACGUG